rnacentral:misc_RNA from 1 species
AAGAUCUUGUAGAAAUGUGUCGAGGAAUUCAACAUCCUAUCCGCGGGCUAUUUUUAAGAAGUUAUCUCUCGCAGAUCAGUAGGGACAAGUUGCCUGAUAUUGGUUCGGAGUAUGAAGGAGAUGCUGAUACUGUUACUGAUGCCAUAGAGUUCGUGCUUCAAAACUUCACAGAGAUGAAUAAACUUUGGGUUCGAAUGCAGCGUCA